rnacentral:rRNA from 1 species
UACGAAGGGGGCUAGCGUUGCUCGGAUUGACUGGGCGUAAAGGGCGCGUAGGCGGUUCGUACAGUCAGACGUGAAAUUCCUGGGCUCAACCUGGGGGCUGCGUUUGAUACGUGCGGACUUGAGUGCGGAAGAGGGUCGUGGAAUUCCCAGUGUAGAUGUGAAAUUCGUAGAUAUUGGGAAGAACACCGGUGGCGAAGGCGGCGACCUGGUCCGAUACUGACGCUGAGGCGCGAAAGCGUGGGGAGCAAACAGG